rnacentral:rRNA from 1 species
ACGGAAGGCAGCAGUGAGGAAUAUUGGUCAAUGGGCGGAAGCCUGAACCAGCCAAGUCGCGUGAAGGAUGAAGGUAUUAUGUAUUGUAAACUUCUUUAGCAGUGGAGUAAUAAGGGGCUCGUGAGCCCUGAUGCAGGUACACUGAGAAUAAGGAUCGGCUAACUCCGUGCCAGCAGCCGCGGUAAUACGGAGGAUCCGAGCGUUAUCCGGAUUUAUUGGGUUUAAAGGGUGCGCAGGCGGCGUUUUAAGUCAGUGGUUAAAUCGUGAGGCUCAACCUCAUACUGCCAUUGAUACUGGAAUGCUUGAUUGCGGUUGAGGUUGGCGGAAUUCGUCGUGUAGCGGUGAAAUGCAUAGAUAUGACGAAGAACACCGAUUGCGUAGGCAGCUGACCAAGCCGUAAAUGACGCUCAUGCACGAAAGUGCGGGGAUCGAACAGGAUUAGAUACCCUGGUA